UGUCAAGGACUCAGCUGAGAGCGGGAGCUGCUGGAGCAAUAAACGUCUCCGAGAAGGUUCUUAGAUUUCACUCAUUUAACUGACCAAGCGUAUGCUCCAGAGCCUUUACCAAGUUCAAGAGACUGGACAAAGGCUGGUAGAACGGCUUCUGGGAUAAAACGUUUGCAGAGCAAGUGUGAGAACUGGAGUUCGGAUCCCCAGCACCCAGGCAUGCUGUCCCAGGGACAAGAACAGCAAUCAUACACAGAAGGAAAACAUGCCCGCUGAAGUCCGUUAUAAGACCAUUCGCUGCUGCUGGACCAGCUGAAGAGCUGAGGUAACCCACAAACUCUUCAAGUUUAAGCACUGGGACAGGAAAGAACAGAGGAAGUUGUCUAUACAAUUAGUUGUGAAUAAAAUCUAAGUGGACACCAGCCAGGGAAAUUAAAGGGAAGGAAUCAAUCCCCCAGUUAAAAAUGAGUUUCAGUCGGGAAAUGGAAGUCUUCAUAAAUGGCCAGUAAAUAUUUUAAGCUUUAUUGGCUACAUCAAGUCUCUGUGAUGUAUCCCACAAAUUUUGCUUAUUUUCAAACUUCUUUGGUUUUUUGCUUAAAGCCCUUAACAUAUAAGCCAUUUUUAAAUGAGGCCACACAAAAGCAGGCUAUGGACUGCAUCCGGCUGCAUCUGCAGCCUCUGAUUAAUAUACGCUUCCUCCUAAAAACCUCCGAAAUGACGAGGAGAAAAAAGCAGAAUUACACAAAAUCAAAGAACAGGAGAGGAGAUAUCAGCACCAAAAUCUGGAAGCUGGGGAGCAAGUAAAGAGCAGGACUCAGCAAACUCAAGCCAGUACUGGUCUAUAGAGCAGGAACCGAUGCGGAGCUGCUAUGUGCAGUACACGCAGAACUCCCCCAGAGCCUUACUGAAGAGAAAGUGAAGAUGUAGACAAGACACCAGUUCUUAAAGAUGAACUGACAGCCAAGACCACAGGGUAGUAGAGGAAAGUCUCCCACGGAAAGAAAGGAGACCAAAACAAAUGCAACCACCACAAAUACACAGGGAGAUUAAAAAAACAAAAUACUGAAUUUGUCAGUAUAGAAAUUUUACUCAUGAGUCAAGUAGAAGAUAUUGCUUAAAGGGAACAUUUAGGGGAUGGAGAGAUGGCUCCAUUUUUGACAGUGUAUACCAGUCUUGAGGACCUGAGUUCAAUUCCCAACACCCAUAUGGGGUGACUCACAACUGCCUGAACUACAGCUCCAGGGGAUACACACACACACACACACACACACACACACACACAAUUAGAAUGAAUCUUUUAAAAAAAAUACACAAUCAGAAAUUUUUUUAAAAAAAGACUGGAAACAAGUUGAGGAAACUCUCAGAGUGUAGAGCAAAAGGCCAGAAACAGCAAAUGAGAUUUUUUUUUU